rnacentral:misc_RNA from 1 species
CUCUCCCUCUACCGAAGCUUUACGUUUCAUAGAGAGAAAGACGGAGAGAGGCCAUGGAGAGGCUUCUACACUCUUCUUCUCCCACUCCUACUCUCAAAAUCCACCUUAAACCCAACCCAUUUCUCCCUCCACUUCGACGAUUUGACUUGCCCAAACUUGGUUUUCCCUCUCUAGAACGCCCUGGGUUCAGGAGACUCAACUUAGUUUCCUGCAGUCAUGAGAACCCAUCAACCCCUUCAA